rnacentral:rRNA from 1 species
GAUGAACGCUGGCGGCGUGCCUAAUACAUGCAAGUCGAGCGAACGGACGAGAAGCUUGCUGCUCUGAUGUUAGCGGCGCACGGGUGAGUAACACGUGGAUAACCUACCUAUCAGACUGGGAUAACUUCGGGAAACCGUAUCUAAUACCGUAUAAUAUUCUGAUCCGCAUGGUUCAAAAGUGAAAGACGGUCUUGCUGUAACUUAUAGAUGGAUCCGCGCUGCAUUAGCUAGUUGGUAAGGUAACGGCUUACCAAGGCAACGAGGCAUAGCCGACGUGACAGGGUGGUCGGCCACACGGGAACUGGGACGCGGACCAGACUCCUACGGGAGGCAGCAGUAGGGAAUCUUCCGCAGUGGGCGAAAGCCUGACGGAGCAACGCCGCGUGAGUGAUGAAGGUCUUCGGAUCGUAAAACUCUGUUAUUAGGGAAGAACAUAUGUGUAAGGAACUGUGCACAUCUUGACGGUACCUAAUCAGAAAGCCACGGCUAACUACGUG